AUUGAACGCUGGCGGCAUGCUUACCACAUGCAAGUCGAACGAGUGGCGGACGGGUGAGUAAUGCUUGGGAAUCUUGCUUAUGGAGGGGGAUAACUCCGGGAAACUGUAGCUAAUACCGCGUACCAUAGGAUGAGCCCAAGUGGGAUUAGGUAUUUUGUGAGUGUAAGGCUCACCAAGCCGACGAUCUCUAGCUGGUCUGAGAGGAUGACCAGGCCCACUGUGCCAGAGACACGGCCCAGACUCCGACGGGAGGCAGCAGUGGGGAAUAUUGCGCAAUGGGGGCAACCUGCCGCAGCCAUGCCGAGUGAAUGAAGAAGGUCUUCGGCUUGUAAAGCACUUUAAGUUGGGAGGCGUUACCAACAGAAUAAGCACCGGCUAACUUCGUGCCAGCCGCCGCGGUAAUAC
rnacentral:rRNA from 1 species